rnacentral:tRNA from 3 species
GUGGGUAUAGCUCAGUUGGUUAGAGCGCCGGAUUGUGAUUCCGGAGGUCGCGGGUUCGACCCCCGUUACUCACCC